GACACACCAGAGGAUAAUGGCUGGGAAUUCAAAAUGCCUCCACAUGCAAAAUGAAACCAGAGAGUCAUACCUGAGUAGCCCCUGGAAUAUCUCACUACAACGUCUCCUUUUGCAGGUGGACAAACCUUACCAGGACAAAUGAGUAUGUAGUUGCUGCUAAAGUAACAGAGUCAGAAGGGCCAGCUCCCUCACUGGGCCAACUCAGGUCAUUGAGAAGCAGGGACCUGUAGCAAAGUGAAAGGGAAGAUCCAACUGCCUUGUGCCUCCAGAUGUGGUAAAUGUUGUCUCAUUCAUACUGUUGAAAUAAAAUUCAUGGAAUGGUAGGAAAAAUCACAUUUUUUCCCAAACAACAAAAUAGUGAAUGCCCAACAAGCACUUUAUAAAGGCCUGGUGAACAAUCCUUA